UAAGAGUCUCCUAGUUGGUCUGGUUUUGAAGGCAUGAAAGGGUCAUGGAGAGCAGCUUAAACUUGGCACCAUGAGAUGCCAGAAGAGGCCACUGGUGAAGGUACAGCCACAGCUGCAGUAGAAGCCCCAGGACUGAAGGGGUCAUGAAGUGAAACUAAGGAUUCAUACUAUGUCGCACAAUCAAAGCCCCUGAAGAGAGCCCAGUAGAGGCCAUUGGUGAAGAUGCAGUCCAGUUCUCGAAGAGACCCCAGCAUUUUAGAAAUGGGACAACCACUAAGGACUGCAGCAGGUGUGGAGUGGAGCCAGCCUGAGCCUAGAAAACAACCUGUGUAUGUCAACAAUGGCAGAGGUAGAGAAAUUGAACUCUUUGGAGAAGCCCAGAGCGUGACAAGAAAGCAAUCUUCUGGGAAGUCUAAGAACAGAGUCCUGGCAUCUGCUCAGCAUCUGGUGAGGGCCCUCUGGCUGUGUCAGCUCAUGGAAGAAGGCUGUCAGGAUCCCACUCUCGCCAUCACACAGGGGUCCAUCCUUGAGGACAGAGCCCUUUAGACUUCAUUUCCUCAACCCUGCUCACUCACUGUCUGCUCAGUAUCACUUCACUGGGGCUCAAGUUUCUAAUACACUUCUGAGUCUGAUAGCCCAGACCUAUAGUCAUAAUUGCCGCUACUGCUGAAACUGAGGCAAAAGGACCACAAAUCCAAGGCCUGCCUAGCUACAGUGAAUUUAAUAGUCUAUGCAACUUGGUGAUGUUCUGUCUCAAAAGGAAAAAUAAUAAAGAAGAGGUCUGGGGAUAUGCUUGUGGUAGACUGUUUGCGUAGCUAUAUC
rnacentral:lncRNA from 1 species